rnacentral:tRNA from 1 species
GGUCGGAUGGCUGACUGGAAGGCUAGGGUUUGCAAGAUCCUAUACAGUGGUUCGAAUCCACUUCCGACCU